UUUUAGAAAUAUGGCUGCCAUCUUGGUCCAAGGUUCUGAAGCCAUGCUGCUUUAUGGCACACACAAUUUCGGGCUUCGUGCAGUCUCGAUCAUAGAUAAAAACUGUUUCCUGCAAGUGGCCGGGGGACAUCCGGGUCUUUGGCGUGACAAGCGAAAGCUUUAACCACUAGACUACCACAUCGCCCCCACAGAACACUGAACAUUCUCCAUUAUCCAACGACACAAUUUACUUUUUGGCCUAAAAACAAUAUAGCAGUGACAAUUAUUAUUGAUAUACCUCUUUUAAGAAACCUGAAUGUCAAUGUCUAAUUAGAAGCGAAACAAUACAUUUCAAAGAAGACUCCAGAUCACGGAACUGACACUGACCCCGACUAUUGCAUCGUCUGCUGAUCAGUUUUGACCUGUCACGUGACGAAUAUUGACUCGUCUGCAGAACAAGAUGGCGUCUGGUUAAUAACAUUUCACGGUUUGCAGGGUACUGUAAUAAAGCAGGAGGUGGUUAAAGGCUUCACGAACAUUAAAGUGACUUUCGCUAUAGAAAACGAUUAAUUAUCCCAGCCUAAUUGUUUGUAUAGGAAUGGAUCACUGAAAUUCAGCAAUAACUUUAGGUGUUCGCGAGAAGGAAACUUUUAAUUUUCUAUAAAAAAGCUGAGUGUCUGGGUUUGGAUUCUUCUGCUGGAGAAAAUCAGUAUUUCUGUCAUACUUGAGUCUUGAUCUGACAAUCAGGUGAUGAACCAGAUCAACAAGUGAUAGCGCAUUUACUUUUAAAAAAUUAAACAAAAGGCAUCACUGA